rnacentral:ncRNA from 1 species
UGAUAGAGGCGCGAUUGACAUUAGUAGUUCAAUUUUCAGGGAAUCGAAUUGAGCAAAAGGGGAUAUCGCCGAGGGGUUAAAAGUUUGCCCAGAACUUUUAAUUGCCGGGAUGCAGGAGAAAAUUUUGCAUACUGUCGUUAUUAACGGAGAGCUGUCG